AAAGAUCAGUUCAACCUGGGUUGUUGGGAGGAAAAUUACCUCAGAGGGAAGCUGCACUGACCCUAGAAUCCAGGGGAUAACUUCUUCGUGAGAGCUAACCGUUGCUCUUGUAUGGCAGAGCUGACGUUCCUACCAUGAAAGCAGUAUUGGAUGGGAAAGGCAAGGCAACCCCACAGAGCAGAGGCGAGCUUGUAUUAGCAGAGUCCACAUCAUUAAACCAAGCUCAAGAUGGGUGAGGGAAGAGAAAACAAUUGUACCUGGCAGGAAAAUGCACACACUGGCCAACAGAGUGCUCUCAGUAAGUUGUUAAUCCCUCCCAAGUUACUCCAGGCCUGUGUUUCAAAACACUGUGGAGCCAGAAUCAUUCUCUCCCCAUAGUUAAUUUGGGCCAACACAAGUAUGGGAAAGCCCUCCAGCACUUAGCUGGAGGCAGCAAUGCUACAGGACCCCCACAAUAAACAAUUGCUGUGCACUAAGAUAACUUCUGGCCUCCAGCGCCUAUAACUUCUCCAUGGAAAGUCUGAAUGUGUGUGGCCUCUAGACCUUCCGUCUGCUUGUGAAAGGAGCAGAAUUUCUCACUUGGAAGUUCUUACUGAGAAGAGAGCUCUUCUUUGAAGAUCUUCAGCUCAGUACGAAUGAGGCAUACAGACUCCUGAGGUCUAAUUCUGAGGAGGGCAAAAGGUGUAUAAACAUUUUGAAAAUAAUAGCUGAAGAUUUCAGCUUCUGGAAAGGAUGGAGCCAGAAAGACAGGAUUCAAUAUCCCACCUUGCGCAUCUGAGAGAUGAGAAGCAAAGAAAGCGAGUCCUAUGAUUACAGCAGCUUAAUGGCCAGAGUGUGUCAGGGCCGAACGUGUAGAGGUGCAGCCUAACAUCGUGGUCCAGCUGAGAGAGGCAGAGUUGGCGUUAUGGAGCACAAGAGACUUAGGAUUUGAUGGACAGGGUUUUGGAAACCAAACUUUACUAGGGAGAGAGAGAGAAAGAGAAAGAGACAGAAACAGACAAAGAGAGAGACAGAGAGAAAGAGAGACAGACGCACACAGAGACACAGAC